GACGAACGCUGGCGGCGGGCUUAACACAUGCAAGUCGAACGGAAAGGCCCUUCUUUUGUGGGGUGCUCGAGUGGCGAACGGGUGAGUAACACGUGAGUAACCUGCCCUUGACUUUGGGAUAACUUCAGGAAACUGGGGCUAAUACCGGAUAGGCGCUCCUGCUGCAUGGUGGGGGUUGGAAAGUUUCGGCGGUUGGGGAUGGACUCGCGUCUUAUCAGCUUGUUGGUGGGGUAGUGUCUUACCAAGGCUUUGACGGGUAGCCGGCCUGAGAGGGUGACCGGCCACAUUGGGACUGAGAUACGGCCCAGACUCCUACGGGAGGCAGCAGUGGGGAAUAUUGCACAAUGGGCGGAAGCCUGAUGCAGCAACGCCGCGUGCGGGAUGACGGCCUUCGGGUUGUAAACCGCUUUCGCCUGUGACGAAGCGUGAGUGACGGUAAUGGGUAAAGAAGCACCGGCUAACUACGUG
rnacentral:rRNA from 1 species